GGUUAGGAAUAAUGAUUUGAUAGGUUUUAGAGAAUGAAAAUUUUAAAUAAAUGAUGUUUUUUGGAGAAAAGUUUAGAGAUUAUAGUAAGAGGGAAUGGGUAAUGGGUUGUUAGAGGUAUAUAUUUAUUAAGUUUUUAUUUGUUGUUGUAAUUUAUUUGUGUUUUGUUUUGUUUAGAUUUGGAAAAUUAUAUUUUAUUUUUG
rnacentral:misc_RNA from 1 species